rnacentral:tRNA from 1 species
UAGAGCGAAUGGCUCGCAAAGCGAAAGCGUCCACACUUAUUGGCUGUUAGUUAAUGUCAUGACCAUUGAAGGUAUCGCCCACUGGUGAUAGAUGGGUCAGUAGCUCAGUCGGUUAGAGCACCGUCUUGAUAAGGCGGGGGUCGUUGGUUCGAUUCCAACUUGACCCACCAACGAUUACCUCGGGGGAUUAGCUCAGCUGGGAGAGCACCUGCUUUGCAAGCAGGGGGUCGUCGGUUCGAUCCCGUCAUCCUCCACCACCGCUUUUGUGGAUGGUUGUCGAUACAGCAAGGUUCAUGACAGAGUAUAGGGCACAGGACAACAACGGUUGACCUGGCGCUAGAUUCAACGAAGAGUGUUCUUUUUAAAGAAUACUGCUCGUUGGGUUAUGCAACCCACGAAUUGCUCUUUAACAAUUAGGAAGAAGCACAACGAAGGUGUGUUGUCUAAUAAACGCAAAGCGAUUAGUCGCCUUGUGAUGACAAUACACGGGUUGUGAUUGCAACAGAACAAAUUAUGUUCAACGAAAGUUCUCAAAAAUAUAGACGUUGUUCGAUCUUCGGAUUGGAUGACAGCUAAGGAUUGAUGAACGGCAACAACGUAUACUCAUAUUCCUAUAACAGCAUCAAGCGUUAUAG